AGUGAACGCUGGCGGUAGGCCUAACACAUGCAAGUCGAACGGCAGCACAGUAAGAGUUUGCUCUUACGGGUGGCGAGUGGCGGACGGGUGAGGAAUACAUCGGAAUCUACUUUUUCGUGGGGGAUAACGAAGGGAAACUUACGCUAAUACCGCAUACGACCUACGGGUGAAAGCAGGGGAUCUUCGGACCUUGCGCGAUUGAAUGAGCCGAUGUCGGAUUAGUUAGUUGGCGGGGUAAAGGCCCACAAAGGCGACGAUCCGUAGCUGGUCUGAGAGGAUGAUCAGCCACACUGGAACUGAGACACGCUCCAGACUCCUACGGGAGGCAGCAGUGGGGAAUAUUGGACAAUGGGCGCAAGCCUGAUCCAGCCAUACCGCGUGGGUGAAGAAGGCCUUCGGGUUGUAAAGCCCUUUUGUUGGGAAAGAAAAGCAGCAGGUUAAUACCCCGCUGUUCUGACGGUACCCGAAGAAUAAGCACCGGCUAACUUCGUG
rnacentral:rRNA from 1 species